rnacentral:tRNA from 1 species
AUUUAAAUAGCUUAUAAUUAGAGCAUGACAUUGAAGAUGUUAGGGAGAUUACUAUAAUCUUUAGAUA